UACGGGGGGAGCAAGCGUUGUUCGGAUUUACUGGGCGUAAAGGGCGCGUAGGCGGUCAGCACAAGUCAGUUGUGAAAUCUCCGGGCUUAACCCGGAAAGGUCAACUGAUACUGUGCGACUAGAGUGCGGAAGGGGCAACUGGAAUUCUCGGUGUAGCGGUGAAAUGCGUAGAUAUCGAGAGGAACACCUGCGGCGAAGGCGGGUUGCUGGGCCGACACUGACGCUGAUGCGCGAAAGCCCAGGGGAGCGAACGGG
rnacentral:rRNA from 1 species